CGCCACGGGUAUACUGAAAAUCUUUUGGGUUAUUAUUUUUUUUUUUGUCUUUAUUGUUAAUAUUUUUCUUGCUAUAUACUAUAAUGUUUUUUUUUUUAGCAAGGCCCCAAAAACCAUCCUACCACUUUUUGAUUUGUGCCCAAAUACACUUUACAAAUACCCAUACAAGUUCCUGUGAAUCCUGUGUGAUCACGAAGCUCCUGGAGGCUCUGAGAAAUUUGCAUUUAUUUGACACACUUCUAAAGGUCGCCAAUGAUUUAGAGACGUGUUUUUGAGAGAAAACACAUUUAAGGAAGAUUGGAAGAACUGUCUUGAAGGCUCUCCAUUUACAAACCAUCCGUCUCACUGCAGAAUGAUGAAUUUCAAAUUGUUUGGAGACGGCCUUAUAACCCUUCCCGGACUGAUGAGCAGCAACAGUCGCUUCUCUGAGCUCGUGGCUGAUGUCCUUUCACUUCAGUGUUCCAGAACGCCAACCUGCCAAAAGUUCUUGCUUUUAUCGAGGUAGUCGUGGUUCUUGAUGAUGAACUAAUAUCGUUUCAUGUGCAUUUCAUUAGUAACACCUGGCUGCUUAUUACUCUCUUAAUCGCACCGUUCGUUGUCACCCAGAUGAACACGGGUUCCUUUCUGAGCCUGGAUCCUGAAAUCUUCUAA
ensembl:lncRNA